rnacentral:rRNA from 1 species
UACGUAGGUGGCAAGCGUUAUCCGGAUUUAUUGGGCGUAAAGGGAACGCAGGCGGUCUUUUAAGUCUGAUGUGAAAGCCUUCGGCUUAACCGGAGUAGUGCAUUGGAAACUGGGAGACUUGAGUGCAGAAGAGGAGAGUGGAACUCCAUGUGUAGCGGUGAAAUGCGUAGAUAUAUGGAAGAACACCAGUGGCGAAAGCGGCUCUCUGGUCUGUAUCUGACGCUGAGGUUCGAAAGCGUGGGUAGCAAACAGG